UACGGAGGGUGCAAACGUUGCUCGGAAUCAUUGGGCGUAAAGCGUGUGUAGGCGGCAUGUUAAGUCGGGUGUGAAAGCCCCGGGCUCAACCCGGGAAGUGCAUUCGAUACUGGCAUGCUUGAGUACGGGAGAGGGUCGCGGAAUUCCCGGUGUAGAGGUGAAAUUCGUAGAUAUCGGGAGGAACACCGGUGGCGAAGGCGGCCAACUGGACGAACACUGACGCUGAGACUCGAAAGCGUGGGGAGCAAACAGG
rnacentral:rRNA from 1 species